CUGAGAUCGAUACUUCUCCACUGGCAGGACGGCGGCUAGCGGAACAAACUACUGCUAACGUGAGCGGCGAAGGGUUUGGUUGCCUCGGUACGUGGGCAGGAUGCCAGGAGUGCGGGCUGCCUCAGAUACCCUGGCACCAGACCAGAUGCCGGUGGAAACCCUGGAGUCUUUCCACAGCUCCUCAGAGCUCUCCCAGGGAAUACGGUGAAUAGACACAUGACCGCCGCCCUGCGACUUAACUCCUUCUCGAGGGAGAUGGAGGGAUCGGGAGACGGAGGAGGAACAGAGUGGUCAGAGCGACAUGUGACAGCAGCAGGACAUCUCGGUGGCUGGGUCUCGCCUGCGCACCAGGUCGAGGUCAGCAGCUUGUUGAUCCACCACAGCAGCCCUGGAAGCUUUGAUAGAUUCAAAGGCGAGGCAGGUGCACUUAACAUGCAAUCUGCUUGUGCUACGAGAGCGCAGAAGAAAGGUGACUGUCAUCUCCUCUGAGGAAACAAUGCUGUUACAUGACUCAGCAGUAUAUUUUGUGGGUGAUAUUGCGAAAAAAUAUAGUAAUAUUACGGGGGAGUUGUGAGCACCAAUAUUGUGAAAAACCAUGCAGUAAAGUACAACCAGCUGAUAUUCAGAAAUUGAGCAAGGACACUGGCAGAACUGGUGCUGAAUCACAGUUCCUGCUCAGGCCUGUGAGAGUUGACCAAUAAGAAUCAGCUGAGCUUUUUUGGGAUGAGGGGCCUUACAGUGACAGGAGCGUUCAGACAGAGGGUGAUUCAAAGUAUAUAUGUAUGAAUUAUGGGCUGAGGAAUGGCAAAAACUUGUUACUACCAAUUAAUUACUUAUUACUCAGAUAUUAGUUACUGUUUUGAUAAUGAGAGUACAAAACACACUGAUGACUGGAAAAACCAGCAAGAGACAGGUAGAUUUUAAAAGUGUCCAACCAAACAGAUCACCCCCGUGUGUGUGAGAGUGGUGUGUGCUACGUUCCAUGAGCUCACUUUGCUUUUUAGUCUCAUAAAUAUGUACAUACACAACACUAAAAUCUAAUCUAAAUGUACCUCAGUUAAAACACUGCUCACUGCCGUGGGUGUGCUUUGGGCUAACGUAGCAGCUAAACAAGAGUCCUUCUCUUUACUGCGAGUGCGGCCUGCGGUUGUCAUCGCUAAUUGUGACCAAUGGUUUAUAAGAGUGCACAAUCAUGUACAUGUUAUCAUAAUGUACAUGAACAACGAACGUGGCUAGUUUAAGUACCACUGUAGGCGCAUGUUAAGUAAUCGCUUCAGCUUUAGCUAAACAUCCAGUCAGGCAUAUGCUACAGAUGCAGGCACCUUUGUUUUUCCCUUUUCUAAUAUACAUGCAUAUUACUUUCUGUAUGUAUUUAAUAUAAAACAAAUUGCUUCUAGAAUAAAUUACGAAAACCUUGUUUUGACAACCGGGCUAAUGAGUAGCUUUGGAUUCCCUCUGCAAAAUAGUUCCUCAAAGCUGCUUCAAUAAACAUUUUUAGAUUAAUAAUCAGAUGAAUUUGCUUGUUUUCGCAGUCCCCAUCAGCACUAUGUUUCAGAGCUGCUUUUUUUUUUUUUUUUGUAGUUGAAUUUACCAGCUCAUUGUUCUGGUUUGCAACUGUAACAUUCCCUUCACUUUCCCGUGGACAGCUCCCUCUAAACCCCGCUGCAUGCUCUCAGAUGGCAGAUGGACAAAGACAGCAACUAGCUAGAUAGGGAUGUAUCUAGAUGCUGAAUAGCCAGUGAUAAGAAGCAUAUAAGCCUGUAAACAAGGUGAUAUACAGUACGGGCCAGUGGAAUAAAGUUGGAACUGGGUGACAUCAAACCGGCAGUUUCCUGAUUUGUUCCCCUCUUGGCGAUAACUCAAAAUGUUGCCUGCCAAAUAUUAAAGUGUUAGUGGUUAUAUGUGCACUGUAUCUUGUGGUUUUUAAAAGGUCUGUCGUUACUUUAGGCUAUGCUUCGAAAUUUAAACUGUCCUAACCACUCCAGAGUUAUUUUACUUAUCUCUGAACGUGGUUAUCGCCAAAAUGCUCUGAAGACCUCCUCCGAGUGAGCCGCUGCAGUGCAGUCUGAAAGUCCCGGUGUUUGGUAGCCUACAGUAUUUCCACAGGUGCACAAAAAUAAAUAAAAAUGAGUUCAAACUUGCCCCGAUUAGUUGUACGGAUGUGUCAUUAAAUAAUUUUUUUUGCAUUUCUAACCU